rnacentral:rRNA from 1 species
UACAGAGGGUGCAAGCGUUAAUCGGAAUUACUGGGCGUAAAGCGCACGUAGGCGGUUUUUUAAGUCAGAUGUGAAAGCCCCGGGCUCAACCUGGGAAUUGCAUUUGAAACUGGGAAACUAGAGUGUGUGAGAGGGGGGUAGAAUUCCAAGUGUAGCGGUGAAAUGCGUAGAGAUUUGGAGGAAUACCAGUGGCGAAGGCGGCCCCCUGGCACAACACUGACGCUAAUGCACGAAAGCGUGGGGAGCAAACAGG